CUUACUUACUUACUUUUAUUCGGCGGACAACACAACAGCUUUUGUUGGACAAGCAAAGCAUGUAAGGUUUAAUUUUUACAACAUUACUGUAUUAAAGUAGUUUGCUAGUUCUUUCACUAAAGCGGCCAACGGAAAUGCCUUUGUGCUAUUUUUAGCCAGGGAGUAUGUACAGUAUACCUUUUAUUCUGAUACGCGUUUACGUAUCCUGGAUGAGAAAUUUAUGCACAUGCUCCAAACGGCAUGGCCGAUGGAAUAAAACAGAGCCGAUGGGCGAUUCUGUCACUUACAAUCUGGAGCGGACACUGGUAUUAGAGUUUUGUAAGUGCUGCUGCAAGAUUCUACAUGUUUGUGUGACAUACUAUGAUAUUCCUUAAUCAGAGCGGACGAAGGCAUUUCGGGAAGAAUGCGUUUAAGGAUGACUUCGUGCGGCUCAUGAUAAAUGAUCAAAAGGCAGAUUUUUUUCUAACGAGAAGAAAUCAGCAGCGGAAUGGAAUUUGUUGCGAUAAUGGUGUUUGCGGUGUCGGAAGCGAAGCAGGACAAUCUAGGAAUCAUCAAAAGGAAAGUCAGACCAUUAGCGAAUGCCAAUGCCAUUAAGCAUGCGGCAUCCGUCAUGAUUCUCACACUUACACCCAAUCCGAUCAAUAGCAGAAUGACCAUCCCGGAUACGAUGCCAAUAAUCAAGCCGACAUAAUCAUCCGUAGUGGUCGGCUGCAGGCGGCUGGACGUGUUGCCCUGCACGGCAUACAAAUGCGUUUUGUGGCCGUGAACUUCCGGCGCAUCUCUACCGCCGAGCAGAAAUCCCGACGGAUGGAAGAUGUGAAAGAACUGACCGUCCAGUGCGGCACUGGAGGUCGUCGACUUGGUCAGUAAUUCUGGCGGAGAUGCCUCGGGCGUGAAAUUGCCGGCUAAGGGUUCUGCGGCAUCAAGGGAGACAGAUAGCAUUUUAAAUUUUCAUUUCACGCUUCAGUGCUCAAGUGGACAACCGGUCGAUUCUUACCCGAAUCAAACGACACUUCACUGAUCAUCAUCCAACGGGAGGCAAACGUCAAAAUAACCUUUACAUAGCGACCAACAUGCUGGUUUAAUUUAAUGCUGACAUUUCGAGACUUUUCCAUGACGGUGUCAGCGGUGUAAGCAUAGUGAACUGGCGCUCCUGUGUAAUAUUUCCCGCCAAUACUGCAACAGAGAAGUGCAGUGAGAUAGAUAUCAUCAC